CAAAAACAUGUCCUUUUGAGGUUUAUUUAAGGUCUAACCUGCCCAAUGAGUAAUUCAAUGGCCGCGGUAUUUUAACUGUGCUAAGGUAGCAUAAUCACUUGUCUUUUAAUUGAGGGCUGGAAUGAAUGGUUGGACGAGACACUUACUUUCUUUAAUUUGUAUUAUGAAUUUAAUUUUUUAGUUAAAAAGCUAAAAUUAUUCUAGGGGACGAGAAGACCCUAUAGAUCUUUAUAUUUAAUAUAAUUAAUUAUUUUAGAGGAUAGCAUAAUUUAAUUUUAUUAUGUAUUGGGUUGGGGCGACCAGGGAAUUUAAUUAACUUCUCUUAUCUGUUUGUGUACUCAUUAAUUAAUGUUUGAAUGAUCCAUUAUUAUUGAUUAAAAGUUUAAGUUACCUUAGGGAUAACAGCGUAAUUUCCUCGGAGAGUUCAUAUUGAUGAGGGAGUUUGCGACCUCGAUGUUGGAUUAAAAUAAGUAUUAAAUGUAGCAGUUUAUUUACUAGGUCUGUUCGACCUUUAAAGUUUUACAUGAUCUGAGUUCA
rnacentral:rRNA from 1 species